rnacentral:rRNA from 1 species
AUGGAGCGGCCGGCGCCGGCGAGGCAAUGGCGCAAGGCGCUCAACGUCAUCCGGACGUGCUACAGGUUAGCGCGACCCGGCGUUCUAACCGCCACCGUCCUGCCACGGAGACGGAGUGCCUCCUACGUCGCCAUCAAGAUCCAGCACGCCGGCGAUUCCGCCUCAUUCUCUGUCGCGGCCGACGAUGAGUCCUUCAAGGGCCUCGUCAAGGAGAAGCGCCACAACUCUUUCGGCCGCCUGGGAGGCGGCGCUGGCAUCGCCGCCGCGCUGGCCUCCGACGCCGAGCGCGGCAUCCGCGGUGACAGCGACGACCUGCGGCGCCGCAGGGAGUCGUUCGGCGGGAACACGUACCCGAAGCCCAAGCCCAAGAGCUUCUUCAGCUACCUCUGGGACGCGCUCAAGGACGACCUUUUCAUCGUGCUCGUCGGCUUCGCCAUCAAGGAGCACGGCUGGUACGACAGCGUCGGCAUCUUCCUCGUGGUGUUCCUCGUCGCCACCGUGUCCGCCGUCAGCAACCACGGCCAGGUCAAGCGCUUCGACGAGCUAGCCAGCAAGUCCAACAAUACCGCCGUCACCGUCGUCCGAGCCGGCCGGAGGCAGGAGGUCUCCAGAUUCGAUAUCUUGGUCGGCGACGUGGUGAUACUCAAGAUCGGCGACUCGGUGCCGGCGGACGGGGUGUUCCUGGAGGGUCACGGUCGGCUGCAGGUGGACGAGUCGAGCAUGACAGGCGAGCCCCACCCGAUCGAGAUCGAUCCCGAGAAUAACCCCUUCCUCACCGCCGGCGUGAAGAUCAUCGACGGCUACGGCCGAAUGCUCGUCACCGCCGUCGGCACCGACACCUUGUGGGGCGAGAUGAUGGGCAACCUAACCAAGGAGGACGCCGACGAGCCAACGCCGCUCCGGGAGCGCCUCGAUGGCCUCACCUCAAGCAUGGGCAAGAUCCGCGUCGCCGUCGCGGUGCUCGCCUUCGCCGUGCUCACCGCGCGCCACUUCACCGGCAGCACCAAGGACGACCAAGGGAAGCCACUGUUCAACAAGGGCCACGUCACCUUCGACGCCGUGUUCAGCUCCCUCGUCAGCAUUCUCCAGCAGGCCGUAACCAUCAUUGUCGUCGCCAUCCCCGAGGGCCUCCCGCUCGCGGUGACGCUGACGCUCGCCUUCGCCAUGAAGAGGAUGGUGAAGGAGAACGCGCUGGUGCGCCACCUGUCGGCGUGCGAGACGAUGGGGUCCGUCACAGCCAUCUGCACCGACAAGACCGGAACGCUGACGCUCAACCAAAUGGAGGUGACCGAGUUUUGGGUCGGCACUGACCAGCCCAGAGGUGCCAUGGCGAUCGCCGGGAGCGUCGUCACCUUGCUCUGCCAGGGAGCUGGGCUCAACACCACAGGAAGUGUUUUCAAGCCGGACAACGUGUCGGCGCCGGAGAUAACAGGCAGCCCGACGGAGAAGGCGCUGCUGUCGUGGGCCGUAGCAGACCUCGGCAUGGACGCCGACGCGUUGCAGAGGAGCUGCAAGGUGCUGCACGUCGAGGCCUUCAACUCGGACAAGAAGCGCAGCGGCGUGAUGAUCAAGGACAACGCUACCGGUGCGGUGGUCGCACACUGGAAAGGCGCUGCGGAGAUGGUGCUGGCGAACUGCUCCAUGUACGUGGACACGGACGGAGCGGAGCGCCAACUCGAAGGGGAGCAGAGGAGGAACCUUGAGAAGGUGAUCGACGACAUGGCGGUCGGCAGCCUCCGGUGCAUCGCCUUCGCCUACAAGCAAGUCAACGGUACUCACCAGUCAAAGAUCGACGACGAUGGUCUGACGUUGCUGGGCUUCGUCGGGUUGAAAGAUCCGUGCCGGCCAGAGGUCAAGGCCGCCAUUGAAGCUUGCACCAAGGCAGGCGUCGCCGUCAAGAUGGUCGCCGGCGACAACAUCCUCACGGCCCGCGCGAUCGCCAUGGAGUGCGGCAUCAUAUCCAGCAAUGACCACAGCGGCAUCGUCAUCGAGGGGCACGAGUUCCGCGCCAUGUCGACGGAGCAGCAGCUCGAGAUCGCCGACAAGAUCCGCGUCAUGGCGCGGUCCCUGCCGUUGGACAAGCUAGCACUAGUGCAGCGACUGAAGCAGAAAGGCCACGUGGUGGCCGUAACUGGCGACGGCACCAACGACGCGCCGGCGCUCAAGAAGGCUAACGUCGCUCUGUCCAUGGGCGUCCAGGGCAGCGAGGUGGCCAAGGAGAGCUCCGACAUCAUCAUCCUCAAUGACAGCUUCGACACGGUGGUGACGGCCACGCGGUGGGGGCGCUGCGUCUACAACAACAUCCAGAAGUUCAUCCAGUUCCAGCUCACCGUCAACGUGUCGGCCCUCGUCAUCAACUUCGUGUCGGCGAUCACCACGGGCAAGAUGCCGCUCACCACGGUGCAGCUCCUGUGGGUGAACCUGAUCAUGGACACCAUGGGCGCUCUGGCGCUGGCCACGGACACGCCCACCAAAGCGCUCAUGGACCGCCCGCCCAUUGGCCGCACGGCGCCGCUCGUCAGCAACCCAAUGUAG